rnacentral:lncRNA from 1 species
GCCUCUGGGAUUGUACCGUCUUCUCCAUCAACCCUGCCGCCUACUCCACUGAGUAGCAAAGGUACAGCACCGCGUACUGCCUGCUUCGUUCCUUGGUUGUGCACUCUUGCAUGACCCGAAGUCCUUCACUUACGGCUAUCUUGAUGAGAAACUUAUUGACACCGGUCUUACGAAGUUUCUUGGCCUCUGCCCUUCAGCCUUGUCUCGGUACUUAGAGAUUACCUCUGCAUGCUCCACCUCCUCAGCCCCUUUCACGACCAAGCGCUCUCCCUCCAUGAGAGCAAGGGAUCAAUGACUUGCACAGAAGUCCCGCCUCUACGGUACCAUGGCGCUGCCAAGCCCAUGGCCCUACUAUCCGUCGCCUCGCAUCUACAUCCAUUUUCUUCACAAUCAGUAGAAAUGUCGUCGCUUCCUCGCCCCUUUCGACCCCCUGCUUCAACACCUAUGUGUUCUCCAAGCAGUCUGUUUAGUCGAUGGAAAGAUAGACUGCAACUCCCAUGCAUGGCCUCUGCCAUCGCAUUAUAGGGAUUGCACCGAUUCUGUUCUCCUUAGCUUCCUUGGUAGCAAUGUUCGCUUACUCGGCCUUGUCCUCUGACUUGCCGGGCUCCCUUAAGCGAAUAUAGGCUCUGGAGCAGUCCAACUCUCCAACUGCUUCGAUCAUACCUCUGCAUGAUCAAGUCCCUCCCAUGGGACUCACUAGUGCUUGCAUUCGAACUUUUCCCUUGGUGG